AUACGUAGGGGGCAAGCGUUGUCCGGAAUGAUUGGGCGUAAAGGGCGCGUAGGCGGCCGCUUAAGUCUGGAGUGAAAGUCCUGUUUUCAAGGUGGGAAUAGCUUUGGAUACUGGAUGACUUGAGUGCGGAAGAGGUAAGUGGAAUUCCCAGUGUAGCGGUGAAAUGCGUAGAGAUUGGGAGGAACACCAGUGGCGAAGGCGACUUACUGGGCCGUAACUGACGCUGAGGCGCGAAAGCGUGGGGAGCGAACAGGAUUAGAUACCCUGGUAGUCCACGCGGUAAACGAUGAAUGCUAGGUGUUGCGGGUAUCGACCCCUGCAGUGCCGGAGUAAACACAAUAAGCAUUCCGCCUGGGGAGUACGGCCGCAAGGUUGAAACUCAAAGGAAUUGACGGGG
rnacentral:rRNA from 1 species